AUGUGUAUAAUAAUAAUAAUAAAAAAUGGUGUGAUUCUGAGCAAGCUGGUAAACAGCCUGUACCCUGAUGGCUCCACGCCAGUGAACCUGCCCGAGAACCUGCCCUCCAUGGUCUUCAAGCAGAUGGGGCAGGUGGCUCAGUUCCUGAAGGCAGCUGAGGACUAUGGGGUCACCAAGACUGACAUGUUCCAGACUGUUGACCUCUUUGAAGGCAAAGACAUGGCAGCAGUUCAGAGGACCCUGAUGGCUUUGGGCAGCUUGGCAGUGACCAAGAAUGAUGGGCACUACCGUGGAGAUGCCAACUGGUUUAUGAAGAAAGCACAGGAGCAUAAGAGGGAAUUCACAGACAGCCAGCUGCAGGAAGAAAAGCAUAUCAGGGCAGCAACAGAGGGGCCUCCCAGGCUGGCAUGACAUGCUACAGACGACCUUGGCAGAUCAACAGCCCUGCCCUCCCCCAGCUCCUUGGCUGCAGCCAUCCCGCUUAGCCUGCUUCACACAUACCCAUGUGGUACCUUUAGCUCUGGCCAAGCUUUGAGGCUCUGUCACUGAGCAAUGGUAACUGCAGAUGGGCAGCUCUUCCCCAGUGCCCCCAGCCUCAGCCCAACUUCUUACCCAAAAGCAUCACUGCCCUGGCCCCUCCCUCCCGGCUACCCCUGCCACCU